rnacentral:rRNA from 1 species
GCAUAUUAAUAAGCGGAGGAAAAGAAACUAACAAGGAUUCCCCUAGUAACGGCGAGUGAAGCGGGAACAGCUCAAGCUUGAAAUCUGCACCUUGUAAAAAGGGUGCCGAGUCGUAGCUUUUGGAGGCACUAUUGAGCGGCUAAUCUUGGUAAAAGUCCUUUUGAAUAAGGCAUCAGAGAGGGUGAAAAUCCCGUAUUUGACCAGGAGUAUAAAUUAGCAGCGAUAUCAAGUGUUUUCUUUGAGUCGGGUUGUUUGGGAAUGCAGCCCUAAUUAGGAGGUAAAUUUCUUCUAAAGCUAAAUAUCAGCAAGAGACCGAUAGCAUACAAGUACCGUGAGGRAAAGAUGAAAAGCACUUUGAAAAGAGAGUGAAAAGUACGUGAAAUUGUUGGAAGGGAACCGGUUGAUGACCAAGCUUUUUUGGCUUCUUUCGGGGGAGUUGGAGSGUCAACAUCGGUUGUUUUAUGGCUAGAAGGGAUUUUGCGGGCUGACGGGGGAAASGUAGUAAGCGUUCUGCGUAUUUUAUACCUAGGGCGUUUAUGUUAUAGACUCCCACAGGCUCGCUUCAAAAGCUCUAUAGUUGUAGCGACCGAGGAAUGUAGUGUGUUUUUAUCUUCGGGAUUUAGGGCAGCUUGUAGGGAUGCAUUUUGUGGUGUUUAUCUUGGGGCUAGACAGCUUUGCUGACUAGUUCUGGUGCGCCAUAUGUACGCCUUGCAAGGUGACCAAGAAGCACUUUGGAUGUUGGCGAAAAGGCAUCAAUCGACCCGUCUUGAAACACGGACC